rnacentral:tRNA from 1 species
AAUUGAUUAGCUUAUUAAAAGCCUUAAUUUUGAAAAUUAAAGAAAGAUCACAAACCAUCUAUCAAUUA